rnacentral:rRNA from 1 species
AGUGAACGCUGGCGGUAGGCUUAACACAUGCAAGUCGAACGGUCCUUCGGGAUAGUGGCGGACGGGUGAGUAACACGUGGGAACGUACCCUUAGGUUCGGAACAACACAGGGAAACUUGUGCUAAUACCGGAUAAGCCCUUCGGGGGAAAGAUUUAUCGCCUUUGGAGCGGCCCGCGUCUGAUUAGCUUGUUGGUGAGGUAAUGGCUCACCAAGGCUACGACCAGUAGCUGGUCUGAGAGGAUGGCCAGCCACACUGGGACUGAGACACGGCCCAGACUCCUACGGGAGGCAGCAGUGGGGAAUCUUGCGCAAUGGACGAAAGCCUGACGCAGCCAUGCCGCGUGGAUGAUGAAGGUCUUAGGAUUGUAAAAUCCUUUCACCGGGGACGAUAAUGACGGUACCCGGAGAAGAAGCCCCGGCUAACUUCGUGCCAGCAGCCGCAGUAA